rnacentral:rRNA from 1 species
GAUGAACGCUGGCGGCGUGCCCAAUACAUGCAAGUCGAGCGAACCACUUCGGUGGUGAGCGGCGAACGGGUGAGUAACACGUAGGUGAUCUGCCCAUCAGACGGGGACAACGAUUGGAAACGCUCGCUAGUACCGGAUAGGACGAAAGUUUAAAAGUGCUUCUGGCACCGCUGCUGGAUGAGCCUGCGGCGCAUUAGCUAGUUGGUAGGGUAAAGGCCUACGACGGCGACGAUGCGUAGCCGACCUGAGAGGGUGAACGGCCACACUGGGACUGAGACACGGCCCAGACUCCUACGGGAGGCAGCAGUAGGGAAUCUUCGGCAAUGGGCGAAAGCCUGACCGAGCAACGCCGCGUGAAUGAUGAAGGCCUUCGGGUUGUAAAAUUCUGUUAUAAGGGAAGAACGACUUUAGUAGGAAAUGGCUAGAGUGUGACGGUACCUUAUGAGAAAGCCACGGCUAACUACGUGCCAGCCGCCGCCGUAA